UUGAUCCAUAUCUAAUUUGAUAAUGGACUUUUCUUUGUUGUGCAUAGGACUCUUUUGCGGUUCGGUUUUUGCUUCCACGGGGUGAAAGUUUGAAAAGCCCAUGUGCCUUAAUCACGCGGGAAAGGUUUGUAUUAGUAGAUCUGUAAGCUCAAAAUGGUAGAGCUCUCGUUAUGAGAGGUUGGUGGUUCGAAUCCACCCAGAUCUGUCCGUCUUCCUCACCCUUUUUUAGAUUUAACUGAUUUUGAAUUUCAAUUGUUAUGAUCUUCUGCAUUGGCAUUUGGCGCUAGGGAGUAGGAAUUCGUCAUCGGUAAGCAAUGACGAUAAUUAACUAUGUAACUUGGAUUACAAUCAACUAAGCAAAGAUUUUCAUCCACUUAAGGAAAAGUCUUCCUAAUACAUGUAUACUUUUCUUUUGGAACUCCCAAAUAAUCAUCAACAUGGGUU
rnacentral:lncRNA from 1 species